UUUAUGGAGAGUUUGAUCCUGGCUCAGGAUGAACGCUGGCGGCGUGCCUAAUACAUGCAAGUCGAGCGAACGGACGAGAAGCUUGCUUCUCUGAUGUUAGUGGCGGACGGGUGAGUAACACGUGGAUAACCUACCUAUAAGACUGGGAUAACUUCGGGAAACCGGAGCUAAUACCGGAUAAUAUUUUGAACCGCAUGGUUCAAAAGUGAAAGACGGUCUUGCUGUCACUUGUAGAUGGAUCCGCGCUGCAUUAGCUAGUUGGUAAGGUAACGGCUUACCAAGGCAACGAUGCAUAGCCGACCUGAGAGGGUGAUCGGCCACACUGGAACUGAGACACGGUCCAGACUCCUACGGGAGGCAGCAGUAGGGAAUCUUCCGCAAUGGGCGAAAGCCUGACGGAGCAACGCCGCGUGAGUGAUGAAGGUCUUCGGAUCGUAAAACUCUGUUAUUAGGGAAGAACAUAUG
rnacentral:rRNA from 1 species